rnacentral:rRNA from 1 species
AACGAACGCUGGCGGCAUGCCUAACACAUGCAAGUCGAACGAGACCUUCGGGUCUAGUGGCUCACGGGUGCGUAACGCGUGGGAACCUGCCCUUAGGUUCGGAAUAACUCCCCGAAAGGGGUGCUAAUACCGGAUAAUGUCUUCGGACCAAAGAUUUAUCGCCUUUGGAUGGGCCCGCGUUGGAUUAGCUAGUUGGUAGGGUAAAAGCCUACCAAGGCGACGAUCCAUAGCUGGUCUGAGAGGAUGAUCAGCCACACUGGGACUGAGACACGGCCCAGACUCCUACGGGAGGCAGCAGUGGGGAAUAUUGGACAAUGGGCGAAAGCCUGAUCCAGCAAUGCCGCGUGAGUGAUGAAGGCCUUAGGGUUGUAAAGCUCUUUUAACCGGGAUGAUAAUGACAGUACCGGGAGAAUAAGCUCCGGCUAACUCCGUG